UGCUUUCUCCGCUGACGAGCGGCGGACGGGUGAGUAAUGUCUGGGGAUCUGCCUGAUGGAGGGGGAUAACUACUGGAAACGGUAGCUAAUACCGCAUAACGUCGCAAGACCAAAGUGGGGGACCUUCGGGCCUCAUGCCAUCAGAUGAACCCAGAUGGGAUUAGCUAGUAGGUGGGGUAAUGGCUCACCUAGGCGACGAUCCCUAGCUGGUCUGAGAGGAUGACCAGCCACACUGGAACUGAGACACGGUCCAGACUCCUACGGGAGGCAGCAGUGGGGAAUAUUGCACAAUGGGCGCAAGCCUGAUGCAGCCAUGCCGCGUGUAUGAAGAAGGCCUUCGGGUUGUAAAGUACUUUCAGUAGGGAGGAAGGUGUGAACGUUAAUAGCGCUCACAAUUGACGUUACCUACAGAAGAAGCACCGGCUAACUCCGUGCCAGCAGCCGCGGUAAUACGGAGGGUGCAAGCGUUAAUCGGAAUUACUGGGCGUAAAGCGCACGCAGGCGGUUUGUUAAGUUGGAUGUGAAAUCCCCGGGCUUAACCUGGGAACUGCAUCCAAGACUGGCAAGCUAGAGUCUCGUAGAGGGAGGUAGAAUUCCAGGUGUAGCGGUGAAAUGCGUAGAGAUCUGGAGGAAUACCGGUGGCGAAGGCGGCCUCCUGGACGAAGACUGACGCUCAGGUGCGAAAGCGUGGGGAGCAAACAGGAUUAGAUACCCUGGUAGUCCACGCUGUAAACGAUGUCGAUUUGGAGGUUGUGCCCUUGAGGCGUGGCUUCCGAAGCUAACGCGUUAAAUCGACCGCCUGGGGAGUACGGCCGCAAGGUUAAAACUCAAAUGAAUUGACGGGGGCCCGCACAAGCGGUGGAGCAUGUGGUUUAAUUCGAUGCAACGCGAAGAACCUUACCUACUCUUGACAUCCAGCGAAUCCUGUAGAGAUACGGGAGUGCCUUCGGGAACGCUGAGACAGGUGCUGCAUGGCUGUCGUCAGCUCGUGUUGUGAAAUGUUGGGUUAAGUCCCGCAACGAGCGCAACCCUUAUCCUUUGUUGCCAGCGGUUCGGCCGGGAACUCAAAGGAGACUGCCAGUGAUAAACUGGAGGAA
rnacentral:rRNA from 1 species